rnacentral:rRNA from 1 species
UACGUAGGUGGCAAGCGUUGUCCGGAUUUACUGGGCGUAAAGGGCGCGUAGGCGGUCAGCACAAGUCAGUUGUGAAAUCUCCGAGCUUAACUCGGAAAGGUCAACUGAUACUGUGCGACUAGAGUGCAGAAGGGGCAACUGGAAUUCUCGGUGUAGCGGUGAAAUGCGUAGAUAUCGAGAGGAACACCUGCGGCGAAGGCGGGUUGCUGGGCUGGCACUGACGCUGAGGCGCGAAAGCUAGGGUAGCAAACGGG